GACGAACGCUGGCGGCGUGCUUAACACAUGCAAGUCGAACGGAAAGGCCCUGCUUUUGUGGGGUGCUCGAGUGGCGAACGGGUGAGUAACACGUGAGUAACCUGCCCUUGACUUUGGGAUAACUUCAGGAAACUGGGGCUAAUACCGGAUAGGAGCUCCUGCUGCAUGGUGGAGGUUGGAAAGUUUCGGCGGUUGGGGAUGGACUCGCGGCUUAUCAGCUUGUUGGUGGGGUAGUGGCUUACCAAGGCUUUGACGGGUAGCCGGCCUGAGAGGGUGACCGGCCACAUUGGGCCUGAGAUACGGCCCAGACUCCUACGGGAGGCAGCAGUGGGGAAUAUUGCACAAUGGGCGGAAGCCUGAUGCAGCAACGCCGCGUGCGGGAUGACGGCCUUCGGGUUGUAAACCGCUUUCGCCUGUGACGAAGCGUGAGUGACGGUAAUGGGUAAAGAAGCACCGGCUAACUACGUG
rnacentral:rRNA from 1 species